UACGUAGGGUGCGAGCGUUUAAUCGGAAUUACUGGGCGUAAAGCGUGCGCAGGCGGUUCGUUGUGUCGGCGGUGAAAGCCCCGGGCUUAACCUGGGAAUGGCCGUCGAAACUGGCGAACUGGAGUGUGGCAGAGGGGGGUGGAAUUCCGCGUGUAGCAGUGAAAUGCGUAGAGAUGCGGAGGAAUACCGAUGGCGAAGGCAGCCCCCUGGGCCAAUACUGACGCUCAUGCACGAAAAGCGUGGGGGAGCAAAACAGG
rnacentral:rRNA from 1 species